rnacentral:misc_RNA from 1 species
UGAAACUUCACACUUUAAGCAUAACCUUAGGAUAAGGUUCCCUAAUGUUGAAAACAUCAUUUAGAACUGUUGUUGAGAUUAAAGAUGCUUUCAGUAAAUUCAGGGCCUCGUCCUUCCCAACAGUUACAGUGCGUUCCCCGACAUCACUGGUUGACACCUCCAUUUGAUUAAGCUGAGUUAUGAUUGUGGUAGGGGAAAAAGGAGUCACUAUAAGAUUAUCCAUUAUCAUAAACGUUGCGGGUCCUUUCAAGUAUCCUUCACCCUUUAUAGUUUCUCCUGUUGGAGACUUUGGAUCCAAAAUAUUGAUGGCUAAAUCACUUGCUUCUUCCUCAUAAACUAUGGAUGAUCCCUCGGAUUUAUUAGUGUUCCUUACUAAUUCUAUAUGUCCCCAGUCAUCAUCAUAUCUGUAUUUCGGGUACUCCUCUUCCACAUUGAGAAUAUGACUGUCAAACCCAGAGUGUGGAAACAGUUUCGGAGAGAGUAACAUAUUUUUGCAUUCUUCUGAUUUGAUAUAAUUUUCCAAACUCAACUCAGCAGCACCCUUAUACAAAUUAUCUAUACAUCCAAGUCUUGAGUUACCGCCUAGAUGCUUUACUACAGCCCCUAAUGGGAAUACAAGGAAACUGAAAAGGAAGUCUACAAGCUUGACCCCCGCUUCUGCAUACAAAACCUUCUUCUUACUUUUGCUGACUAUAAGCUUCAGGUUCAUACUAUUUGUGUUUUGAGACAUGGUCUUCUUGUCUAACUUUGCAGUUUGGUUAUCUUCAAACUUUGAUAUAUCUUUCAACCAACUUCCCUCGCUAUUCAGUACCAUAUUUGUCAAAGCCGUCUUCGAGAGCAAUGAGAACUUCAGCAGUUGCAACACCUCCUGAGUACCAACUUCUACAGUCUUUGCCUCAAUUUCACUCUUGUCACUGACUCCGAGCUUUCCGAACAAAGCAGUUAAACUAGCAGUUGAGGCUGGCAUUACCUGUAAAUCAUCUGUAAUCAUAAAGCUUGCUGCCCCACCCUUGAAAAAGACUUCAACCACGGUUUCUCCCCCACAACUUCUCUUCUCUUCCUUCUCUUUAAUUUUUCUAUCACAUUGUCUCAAUCUAGCACAGCAGAAGCAGCGUGUAUUCUGCGAGAUACUGAAAAUGCUUUUACACCUAGGGUUAUAGCUAUUACAGUUAAAUAACUUCCCUGCAUUCUCCGAAUAAUCAACAUUGAGCUUCAGCUUUUCACACUGAACUUCUGAUGCACUCCGUGGCAUGAUCAACAUGGAUUUGCAGUAGCUUGUACGCAAGAACCUCGGCUCAAGCGAAUAAACACUGGCAUAAACACGGCUAAUUGAUCCAAAUUGAA